AUUGAACGCUGGCGGCAGGCCUAACACAUGCAAGUCGAACGAGCGGCGGACGGGUGAGUAAUGUCUGGGAAACUGCCUGAUGGAGGGGGAUAACUACUGGACACGGUAGCUAAUACCGCAUACCAUCAGAUGUGCCCCGAUGGGAUUAGCUAGUAGGUUGGGUAACGGCUCACCUAGGCGACGAUCCCUAGCUGGUCUGAGAGGAUGACCAGCAACACUGGAACUGAGACAAGGGCCAGACUCCUACGGGAGGCAGCAGUGGGGAAUAUUGCACAAUGGGCGCAAGCCUGAUGCAGCCAUGCCGGGUGUGUGAAGAAGGCCUUCGGGUUGUAAAGGACUUUCAGCGAGGAGGCGUUACCCGCAGAAGAAGCACCGGCUAACUCCGUGCCAGCCGCCGCGGUAAUUC
rnacentral:rRNA from 1 species